GGCAUGACGAGGCGUUUCUGAAGGAACAAGAAAGCAGUGUCGCCACCACCGCGAGAAAGCAGGCAUCGCCUUCACAGCCGACAAAAGCUACGGUGGAUACGGUCGGCCCUCCACUGCCUCCCUUGCCGCGCUGUCUUCUUCAUCUCAUCGCUUCCCAUAGUUGUGCCAGUUGGAGACCCUUCUGUUGCUGAAGGAGACCUACAUAAACUAUAGUUAGCCGCUAAGUUAAACAAGCCACGCGCUAGAUCAGAACCUAGCAGGCUUAAGGAUCAGUAAAAUGAUAUCUGUUCAACAUGAGGCACAAGGAUAUCUAUCUUUCAAGAAUCAAUAAACUGGUAUCUGCUAGAUGUGCUUCUCUGUCUUCGUUUGUUUUGAAACACAUAUAUAGUUGAAAAACUGUAGUGGUGAGAAACUCGAAAUGAAUCUGAGCCAGAACUCAGCUCAGACUGCCAAAUUUCAUAAUUUUAUUCACAAAUUUCAACAAUAUUAAACAUUGAGUAUAUUUUAAGCGAAUAACAAAAUCAUGUUUUAUAGCUUGUUUCAUGCCAUGAUGACAUCUUUCUGGCAAUGUGAUCCUGACCACUGGAUGCAUAGUUGUUGUAUUUUUAUGAAUGGUAUUUUUACAACAAAUUAUUUAGAGUCAUAAAUGUAAAUACGAAUUACUAAAAACUUAGGAGGAAACACUUCUUUUAGUUUCUAUGGAAACAAUUUUAGGACAUAUUAGCCCCUGAAGUACCUAAAAGCACAUAUGGGUAUCCAGCUGUUGAUUGCUUUUCAUCAUAUUGUGUUUGCUGUAAAAGUGCAAAUAUAACACAUAUGCACAAUGGUGCUAUAUGGGUGAAUGUCAUUACUGCAGUCAAGGUGUU